UCGGAGUGGAUAUGGUAUUCGCCCUCGUCGGACUGAUUCUGUUGAACUUGUGGAAGCGGAUGGCGCUGGUCGCUUGGGUCGUCGUUGGCC
rnacentral:ribozyme from 1 species